UCAACAGAAUCCGACAUGCCUCCAUUGUUCCAUUCUCCCCCAUCACAACGCCUCCUGCGAUGCAUUGAUCGAUGAUCUUAGGGAGUCAGCAAAGUUGGCUCUGGGAAACAAAGAACUAUCCAAAAAAGGGAAAGCUGGAAUUUAUGGAAUGAUGGCUGCCAUACCAGACCAAACCAUUGUUGAAGAUUUUAUCAAGCAGUUUUUCUCCGAUGUCUACAAAGUACAGAAGUGAUUCGGGAAUUUCUGUUCUCUAUGUGUGCAAUGUUCUCAGUGUUUUAGUUAUACAGCUAUAAACUAGACAAAGGGCAUAUAUAUAUAUAUAUUGUUCUAUUUUGUCAUUUUGUUAUGAUAUUAAUAUUUAUUGGUAAUUUUCAUAUAUGGCUAACUUUCUGGUGCAUAUGGUAUACAGAAAACGGUAGAAUUGAUAAGGGAAGUGGUUUAAUAAACAAAGUAAUUUUAUUUCUCUUUUUUUUUUGCCAGCACUGUAGAAGUCAAUUUCUGAGCUCUGUCGCUUGUAGCACAAAUACAUUUUUUAGUAUUUAAUUAGCAACAGUCAUCUCUCAAGAUGGCGUCUCUGACACUGUUUAUGUUGGUAAUUGAUAGCGAAACAUCUCCAGUUGCAUUUCAUUACGUUUUUAUUUCAGUUCCAUUAAAUCACCACCACAUUUCUUUAUAUCGAGCUCCCUUCUUUUUUUUUUUUGUUCUCGUAGUGUAUUUUAAUGCUAUGCGAACUAAAACGGAAACAUAAGAAGCAAUAGGAAAAAGAAAACUUUAAAAAAAAAAAAAAAACGCUUAUCAAAGGGAAGUAACCGCUAAGUACUGCCAUUUAUCUGAAAAUUACAGGGUUUAUCUCCAUUUCUGUUUUAUAAAACAAUAUUAAUAAAGUAGUACUAAAUAUUAACUAAUUCGUUGUCUUGUUGCUGUUCUAGUCAAUUCUAAGUUUUAAGUCAUAGGCUACCGACAGAACUCAUUCGCAUCAAAUAUAGAUUAAAUUUUCUACUCGUUGACAGUAAAAUGAAACAAACAAAAUAUACAAAAUCCUUUUUUUUUU
rnacentral:sRNA from 1 species